rnacentral:rRNA from 1 species
AUUGAACGCUGGCGGCAGGCCUAACACAUGCAAGUCGAGCGGAUGAAGGGAGCUUGCUCCUGGAUUCAGCGGCGGACGGGUGAGUAAUGCCUAGGAAUCUGCCUGGUAGGGGGGGAUAACGUCCGGAAACGGGCGCUAAUACCGCAUACGUCCUGAGGGGGAACGUGGGGGAUCUUCGGACCUCACGCUAUCAGAUGAGCCUAGGUCGGAUUAGCUAGUUGGUGGGGUAAAGGCCUACCAAGGCGACGAUCCGUAACUGGUCUGGGAGGAUGAUCAGUCACACUGGAACUGAGAGACGGUCCAGACGCCUACGGGAGGACGCAGUGUGGAAUAUGGGAAGAUGGGCGAAAGCCUGAUCCAGCCAUGCCGCGUGUGUGAAGAAGGUCUUCGGAUUGGAAAGCACUUUGAGUUGGGAGGAAGGGCAGUAAGUUAAUACCUUGCUGUUUUGACGUUACCAACAGAAUAAGCACCGGCUAACUUCGUG